rnacentral:rRNA from 1 species
ACUCCUACGGGAGGCAGCAGUGGGGAAUCUUGGACAAUGGGGGCAACCCUGAUCCAGCCAUGCCGCGUGAGUGAUGAAGGCCUUAGGGUCGUAAAGCUCUUUCGCCUGUGAAGAUAAUGACGGUAGCAGGUAAAGAAACCCCGGCUAACUCCGUGCCAGCAGCCGCGGUAAUACGGAGGGGUUAGCGUUGUUCGGAAUUACUGGGGCGUAAAGCGCACGUAGGCGGAUCGGAAAGUUGGGGUGAAAUCCCCGGGGCUCAACCCCGGAACUGCCUCCAAAACUAUCGGUCUAGAGUUCGAGAGAGGUGAGUGGAAUUCCGAGUGUAGAGGUGAAAUUCGUAGAUAUUCGGAGGAACACCAGUGGCGAAGGCGGCUCACUGGCUCGAUACUGACACUCAGAUGCGAAAGCGUGGGGAGCAAACAGGAUUAGAUACCCUGGUAGGAUAGCG